rnacentral:rRNA from 1 species
AUGGAGCCGAAGCCCAAGAGGAAGAAGUCCUGGGCGGCGGCUCCAGCGGAGGUGGAGGACUUCACAGCGCUUGAGCUGGAAGCGGCCGAGCAGCUCAUCCGUCUUAGCGAGAGUAACGUGUCCUUGGGAACCCCAAACGUCCCCGUCUCCCCCUGUGUGGAGCUCUCAAGUCAGUCCUCCUCUCCUCCGCACUCCGCGAAGGCCCCGCCUGUGCCACCGGCUCCUGGGGCAAUAAUUCUUGGCGGUUCCGAGGAUUGGGAGGAAGAUGAGCAGCAUGAGGUGGCCGGGAGGCAGCGGAGGGUGAAGCGCUACCGCCUGAUCAGCGAGAUCUACGCCGCGAUGGAGCCAAUUGGCGGGCACACCGGUAGCAACCAUAAGAAGAAGAGGGGGGAGUAG